AGAUAAUCUUGUUAAUCUUUACCCUUUUGCAAAUUGCCGAUUACUUUAAUGGAGAUGAGCCAGAUGAGAGACGAUAAGGCCGUCGUGUUUCCUAUCUUGAAGAGAUUCAUUGAUUAUGAUCGCAUUCUAGUAUUCGGAUGGGACGGCCAUUGUUUCAUCUUAGAAAACCUGAUGCCGGAGGACUGGUGUUUGGUGUGUUCUCCGGAGGACAGACGGUGGCGUUGCACGUAAUGGAAGAACGAGCUGAGAGUGGUGAUGAUCAUGUUCAUUCUACCAGCUCUUCUUCUUCUUCUUCUUCUUCGUCGUCCAUAGGAAGAAAUAGUGACUCGUCCCGAGAGGUAUCUGACGGUGAGCAUGAUUCCGAUCAAGGUGAGGUGCAGAGUUUGUACAAAGGACCAUUGGAUGCUUUAGAUGACUUGGAGGAAGUGUUACCAAUUAAGAGAAGUGUGUCCCAAUUUUAUAGAGGGAAAUCAAAGUCUUUCGCAAGUUUGUCACAGGCUGCCUCCUGUUCCUCCAUCAACGAAAUUGUGAAGCCUGAAAAUGCUUACACCAGGAAACGUAGGAAUUUACUUGCUUGUAGUAUUUGGGACAAAAAGCGAGAUAGACCACUAAGAAGCAGCAAAGGGGGCAUAUCUAAGAAACCAGCUUGUAGAAGCACCUUGGCUCUUGCAGUUAGCAUGAGCAACUUGGAGAGUCAAAAUAAUGAUGAAAAUCCCAUUUCUAGUUCCUCAUCACCUAUUAUUUCACGUCCUCCUUUAUAUCCUCACAAUAGAAGAUCACCCCGUGGAUCAUCACCACCUCCUUCUCCACGGAAUAUAUCUCCAUGGCGAUCUUUCUCACUGUCUGACCUGCACCGUGUGGAAGCUACUGAUAUCAGAAAUGACUGGCCCUGAAAUGAAUGCAGUGUUGUCUUUGAAUCUUUUUGUGUGGAAAUUCGAGUUCAAGAUUCAGAAUAUUCUCCCUUGGUUGCAUUCAUAAUCUCCUUUCCAGGUCUCAUGGAUCUACUUUACUAUCCUUGAAUCUAUCAUGUACAGUUUAUAGUGAUAAAAUGCUGGAUAUAAGCUUACUAAACAUGUUGUACUGUAUGCUGUAUCCUAUCACUCCUUAUCAACAUGAUGUACCUUUUCCCACCUUUCUUUUUACUGCUCCCUUACAUGAUAAUGAACAAAUAAAUAUUAGGGUUUUUACUGCUCCUUAUAAAAUAUAUUGAACUACUAGUCUAAUACUAUAUAUUCACAUUGAGAGCCAUUAUGUAAGGCAUGACAUUGAAUACAAGGAAAAUUGUCUUAAAUCUCUUCUAUUUUUCUCUUUGGUCUCAUCUCCUUUUUUGAAUCCUCAACCCUAGAUUUUUCUUUCCUUAAGAUAACUCAAUUUCUUUAUAUUUUUCUUACUGAACCUUGCACCAUUUGAAAUUGAAGUGAUGAUAUCAAUUCUCAAGUCCUGUGAAAAAUGAGUUGUGUUUAGAAGGUUGCCAACUUGCAGGUUGAUAGGCUUCUUGAGGAAUUUUGGCACUUUAGCUAAAUGCUCUUGAGGUAGAUGAUUGCAGUAAAUCUGUCUGUGUUGAAAACCCUCCAACAAAUCCCCAACUACUCUCAAGAAGAUUAAACAGCAAAGAAGUUUUACAAUAAGCAAAGUAUAUCCUCUGUCAAGUGAAGAAUGGCCUAUCCAUGGUCAAGAAAGUGGAGAUAAUUCAAGGUUAUACUCCAAUUCAUCACAAAUAUGCCAGUAAUUCAAGCUGUCUCUGUUAUCUGGUGGCUUUUUGAGGAGUUUUAGCACUUUAUCCUAUCUAGCUCUUGAGGAAGAUGAUUGUGGGAAAUCUAUCCGAGUUGAAACCUCUCUCUCCAACCAAUCCCACCUAUUAUCAAGAGGUUAGACAGAAAAGGAGUUCAGUCUAUACAAUUUGUACAAUGAGCAAAAUAUAUCCUCUGCCAAUGGAAGAAUAGCCUAUUCUUCGUGUGAUAAUGGUUUGACUUCCCUUAUAUAAUAGAAAAAAAUAUUGGAUAGAGAAAAUUUCUGAUGUAAUUUUUGGAUACCUUUUCUAAGCAUGAUUAAUGGAAAUGCUGGUAAUUUUUCAUUGGAGAUAAUUCAAGGUUAUACUCCAAUUCAGCAGAAUUAUGCUAGUAAUUCAAGCUGUCUCUGUUAUCUAGUAUGAUACAGUGGCUUCACUUUCUUGAAUCUGGCUUCUGUUGGAAGUGCAGAUGUAGCACUCAGACCAAUAAUAUACCUUUGUUGUUCCUCUCUAGGAUACUAUACUGAAGAUUUUUGUUGGUUGACAACAAUACUAUGCAUUUUUUCCUUUAAACGGACUUGAAACUGAUAAUUUAGCCAUUUUCUUUAAAUUUUAAACAUGACUAUGUUUUGAUUAAUCGUUUUGUAUAUCAUCAUCAUCGACUUUCAAGAAAAGGGUAGUUUAACUUGCAAUUCUAUAAUUUCUUUUAUAUAAAAAUUGCAAGCAUUUCGUCAAAAUAGAUCCUCUUUUUUCACCUUAGUAGUCUUAUGCAAGUCAGGGAAAAGAAUCGUUGGGAUAAUACCUCCUAUAAUCUCAUCUCCAAAAUACUUGCAAUUUUGAUCACUUUUAAUUUAUUAGUAGGUGUUGAAAAGAAAUUUGAUGAUUUUAAAUGGAACACUAAUGUGGUGAUCGAUGUAGUAUUUAUUAGAAAACAUUCAUCAUUAUUGCUCUUCAUAUCAAAAGUAGAUAGCGACAAAUUAUUAAUGAUUCCGUUGAAGGGACUUUUAAGAGCUAUUGUCGUACGUGCAUAAAUGCUGGACAUACUAGGUUCCAUCAUGUUAGUAGAUGGAAAGAUUAUAGAAGCUCGUCUAAGUUAGUGAAAUCUUCUUAUAUUGUUAGAGAUUGCAUAAUUGAUAAACAAACAAAAAAUGCAUUUCACGGUUGUCGUCUUACAUAAAAGGAGUCUGGUAUUUUGGCAGUUUGUGAUUUCACGGUUGUCGUCUUGUGAAAUAGAGUCUAGUUUUUUGCCAGUUUGUGAUUUCACGGUUGUCGGUUUGUGAAAAUGAGUUGAUUACGCACAAACUUUAGGAUACAAACUUUGGUUUAAUUAAAUUAUUAUUAGAUUUGCUUCACUAUUUUGUAGCUUGUUACAACAUUUCAUAAAUUUUCUCAUAUUUCCAUCCCAGAUUAGUUCUAGGUAUGAUGCAUAGUUUUCAAGUCUUUGAGGAUCAUGUAUUUGAUUAAACUUGAUCCGUUGUUUAUCCAAGCAGUAGAAGAAAUUGGAGUUGUGUUUUGGUUCCUUUGCGCUCAUUUCAUGAUAGACACGCGUAAGAUUUCAAAAAGGUUGAGUAAUCCUAUUCUAAGCGAAAAAGAAGAUUUAUUCAUACAAUCCAGUCAGAUUACGGUAAUCUCAUUGAAUGCAUUAAUGACACCACCUUCCCUAAGAAGAUUUUUUUCUUUAUAAAGAUUCCAAAGCAAUUAUAGCUUUUUAUUUCUUAUGGUAGAGUCCUUAAUAUGAAUUUAAGCAUACAGGAUUACUGCUUUUAGUGGUUGGGGAUGUAUUUUAUUUCUUUUUAAGUUGGCUAUAAAUUCGAGUCUCCCUCUCGUCGACGAGAACUCAACAUUUUCGCUCAGAUUCAUGAGAUCAGAAUAAAAAAUCGGAGUUUGAUUGUGAAUUGCCUUCAGGUUUUCCAAAAUGAAUUUUUUUAUGGUUGAUGCUCCUUUAUCUGUACAUAUAUCCCCAGAAGAGUACAAGGUCUUUUAUGCAAUGGACAGGGAGCUUUAUGCUGUUCUUAUAAACGAUCUAUGGCGAGAUCCAGUAGAAUCGAUGAGAAUCAUGGCCCUUUGGCUCUGGUUGGAGCGAUCUGGCUUCAAUGGUAUUGUCAAAAAAAUCUUAUCCUUCCCAUCAGUGCUAAUCAAUGAACUUGCUGAUGAAGCUCUCAUAUCUCUGAAAUAUCUUGAUAAAAACAAAAUUAAUGAUGCUGAAACAACCCCUGUAACUGUACGUGUACCUGCUGAGGAUAAUUUCCCACUCACCCAAAAUUUCGUGGACAGUAAAAUCUCAGCUAGGUUUUUUCACAAGAACAGGCUCUUGGCUAUCCCAGGAAUUUCCAAGAUGAUCAGCAAUGUUUGUGUUAAGGCAUUGACAGACAUCAUGGAUCAAGCCAUGGAGAGAAACCUUCUCCAGUAUAUGAGUUUGAUGCGUGUGAGCCCGCCAGUCCUGCCCAUGGCUGCUGCUACUGCAGGGUUUGAGUUUGACCCGCCUGGGAGAGAAAUAGGUCUGCAUCCAGAUGAAAGGACAAUGUUUGUGACUUUCUCUAAAGGCUACCCUGUGAAUGAAAUGGAAAUCAGAGAUUUCUUUGCCAAGUUUUUUGGGGAUAGGAUUGAGUCACUCUUCAUGCAAGAAGUGCUUCCUGGGGAGCAGUCUUUGUUUGCUAGAAUCGUGUUUUAUUCACCCGAUUCUAUUCCUCUGAUUUUAAAUGGUGCAGAAAAGGUGAAGUUCUCCAUCAAUGGGAAACAUGUCUGGAUGCGCAAAUAUGUGGCGAAACGCCAGCAGCAGCAGAAGUCAUUGGCCUCCCCAUCCUCUCCUCCAUUGCUGUCGUCUCCCAACAUUUCUCAGUCCCUGUUUGCUCGUCACUUUGUCUAAGUUCAAUCUUAGUUCAAUCUAAGUUCAAUGUAACCUUAACCAACAAUAGAAAUGUCUGUGUGUAGACUAUGUUGUCUCUAAAAACUUAAUCAAUGGCUGCCAGCAAGAAUUGUGUUUCUCAUUUUUCUU